rnacentral:rRNA from 1 species
UGAGGAAUAUUGGUCAAUGGGCGAGAGCCUGAACCAGCCAAGUCGCGUGAAGGAUGAAGGUUCUAUGGAUUGUAAGCUUCUUUUAUUCGAGGGUAAAGUGAGGUACGUGUACCUUAUUGCAAGUAUCGAAUGAAUAAGCAUCGGCUAACUCCGUGCCAGCAGCCGCGGUAAUACGGAGGAUGCGAGCGUUAUCCGGAUUUAUUGGGUUUAAAGGGUGCGUAGGCGGAUUAUUAAGUCAGCGGUGAAAGCGUGUGGCUCAACCAUACAGUUGCCGUUGAUACUGGUAGUCUUGAGUGUAAACGAGGUAGGCGGAAUGUGAUGUGUAGCGGUGAAAUGCAUAGAUAUGACGCAGAACUCCGAUUGCGAAGGCAGCUUUCCAGCGCGCUACUGACGCUGAGGCACGAAAGCGUGGGGAUCGAACAGGAUUAGAUACCCUGGGUAGU